rnacentral:rRNA from 1 species
UACGAAGGGGGCUAGCGUUGUUCGGAAUCACUGGGCGUAAAGGGCGCGUAGGCGGCUUUAUAAGUCGGGGGUGAAAGCCUGUGGCUCGACCACAGAAUUGCCUUCGAUACUGUAGAGCUUGAGACCGGAAGAGGUAAGUGGAACUGCGAGUGUAGAGGUGAAAUUCGUAGAUAUUAGGAAGAACACCGGUGGCGAAGGCGGCCAUCUGGGAUACAACUGACACUGAGGCGCGAAAGCGUGGGGAUCAAACAGG